UACGUAGGGGGCAAGCGUUGUCCGGAUUUAUUGGGCGUAAAGAGCGUGUAGGCGGCCGUACAGGUCAGCUGUGAAAACUCGAGGCUCAACCUCGAGACGUCGGUUGAAACCGUACGGCUAGAGUCCGGAAGAGGAGAGUGGAAUUCCCGGUGCAGCGGUGAAAUGCGCAGAUAUCGGGAAGAACACCCGUGGCGAAGGCGGCUCUCUGGGACGGUACUGACGCUGAGACGCGAAAGCGUGGGGAUCAAACAGG
rnacentral:rRNA from 1 species